rnacentral:lncRNA from 10 species
CCUUAUAACCUUGACCACCCCUUACCCUGGAGAGUGCCCAAGGGACAAAAGAAAGCUCUUCUUAAAGGCCAUGGGUAAGGGAGGGGUCAGGGGUCAGGUUGAGGAAGAAGUGAGCUUGCAGUCUUGCCCUCCUAUGAGAGUCCUCCAGCCUGAGCCAUGGGCCUAAGGCAGACUGGAUCCCAGCAGGCUGGGACACAGGGUUUCCAGGUCAACUUUUAUCUUCCCACAUGGUAUUUGUUCCUUUGAUCCUUGAGCAGUUCAAACAAAGCUCACUAAUCAAUGGCUUCCCUCCCUGCCUUUCAGAGCAGAUCCUCAAACACAGCCUGCAUCUCUCCCUGCUCCCCUCCCACCCUCCAGUUUUCCAGCCAGAGGCAUUUGCUCUAAGGCCCAGGCUGUGGCCCACCUAUCACCGCUACCCAAGUAGUACAGGAAAAGGAAAUUUGAAGAGGAAAAGAGGCACCAGGGAUGAGGACACACCGAGAAAAGACCAUGUGAAGACAUGGCGAGAAGACAGCCAGCUGCAAGCCAAGGAGUGAGGCCUCAGAAGAAACCAACCCUGCCGACACCUUGACCUUGGACUUCUAGUCUCUAGAAUUAUGCGAAAAUAAAUUCCUG